UACGUAGGUGGCAAGCGUUGUCCGGAUUUACUGGGCGUAAAGAGCGCGCAGGCGGUCGUUCAAGUCGCGUGUGAAAGCCCCCGGCUCAACUGGGGAGGGUCACGCGAUACUGAUCGACUCGAAGGCAGGAGAGGGAAGUGGAAUUCCCGGUGUAGUGGUGAAAUGCGUAGAUAUCUGGAGGAACACCGGUGGCGAAGGCGGCAUCCUGGACCGAUAUUGACGCUGAGGCGCGAAAGCCAGGGGAGCAAACGGG
rnacentral:rRNA from 1 species